AUUUAUUUCCUUUGAUGCAGAACAACUCUGGGUGCUUGAUUCUGUCUCUGGAUAAGUGAAAAUAGAUGGCAGCGAAGUUGAACUGGUUUUGCAAACACUAGCAAGUAUUUCUUCAUCGCUUCCAUCGUGCAAGUUGCGCUAGCAUUGCGGGCAUUUUUCUUCAUAUUUGGGAAGAGGGGAUGAGGUUGAAAAAUGAAGCUGGUGAUGAAAAGAAUGGAGGGCACCCGCAAAGUGAUGAUGAGGAAGGAGCCCUGCAGGAGACAGCUUUCAAAGCUUGAAGAAGAUGGUCUCACAUCCACGUUGAUCUAUGAAAAUAGCAAGCGGCGGCGGCGACGGACUGGUCACCCCGCAACACCAUUCUUCCUUCACGGUAACUAGCCACGGCAAGUGCUUCUGUCAUUUCUUUCGUGUUGAGAAGGCAGAGGCAAGGGCGCGAACAUGAGGUAUUCUGUGACUUUCUUCGGAGAGGCACGAAAGCGCAAAGGUCGUGACGUGUAACGAUUUAAUCAAGGAGACAACCCGGUCGAGCUAUCAAG